rnacentral:rRNA from 1 species
GACGAACGCUGGCGGCGUGCUUAACACAUGCAAGUCGAACGGGAUGGCGAACGGGUGAGUAACACGUGAGUAACCUGCCUUUUUCUUUGGGAUAACGCUCAGAAAUGGGUGCUCAUCCUGGAUGGAGGGAGAUGGGCUCGCGGCGUAUCAGCUUGUUGGUGGGUGGAUGGCUUACCAAGGCUUUGACGGGUAGCAGGCCUGAGAGGGUGGGCGGUCACAUUGGGACUGAGAUACGGCCCAGACUACUACGGGAGGUAGCAGUGGGGAAUUUUGCAAAAUGGGGGGAAACUUGAUGCAGCGACGCCGCGUUAGGGAUGGAGGCCUGCGGGUUGUGAGCAUCUGUAGCUCGUGUGCGUGUAGCGGGUAAAGAAGCACCGGAUAACUACGUGCCAGCAGCCGCGGUAAUUC